rnacentral:rRNA from 1 species
AGUGAACGCUGGCGGUAGGCCUAACACAUGCAAGUCGAACGGCAGCACAGUAAGAGCUUGCUCUUACGGGUGGCGAGUGGCGGACGGGUGAGGAAUACAUCGGAAUCUACUUUUUCGUGGGGGAUAACGUAGGGAAACUUACGCUAAUACCGCAUACGACCUACGGGUGAAAGCAGGGGAUCUUCGGAUCUUGCGCGAUUGAAUGAGCCGAUGUCGGAUUAGCUAGUUGGCGGGGUAAAGGCCCACCAAGGCGACGAUCCGUAGCUGGUCUGAGAGGAUGAUCAGCCACACUGGAACUGAGACACGGUCCAGACUCCUACGGGAGGCAGCAGUGGGGAAUAUUGGACAAUGGGUGCAAGCCUGAUCCAGCCAUACCGCGUGGGUGAAGAAGGCCUUCGGGUUGUAAAGCCCUUUUGUUGGGAAAGAAAAGCAGCAGGUUAAUACCCCGCUGUUCUGACGGUACCCAAAGAAUAAGCACCGGCUAACUUCGUG